rnacentral:rRNA from 1 species
AUUGAACGCUGGCGGCGUGCCUAAUACAUGCAAGUAGAACGUAGUUGCGAACGGGUGAGUAACGCGUAGGUAACUGCCUCAUAGCGGGGGAUAACUAUUGGAAACGGUAGCUAAUACCGCAUACUGUGAGAUGGACCUGCGUUGUAUUGGCUAUUUGGUGAGGUAAAGGCUCACCAAGGCGACGAUACAUAGCCGACCUGAGAGGGUGGUCGGCCUCCCUGGGACUGCGACCCGGCCCAGACUCCUACUGGAGGCAGCAGUAGGGAAGCGUCGGAAAUGGACGGAAGUCUGACCGAGAAACGCCGCGUGAGAGAAGAAGGUUUUCGGAUCGUAAAGCUCUGUUGUGAGAGAAGCGUUAACUAACCAGAAAGGGACGGCUAACUACGUGCCAGCAGCCGCGGUAAUUC